rnacentral:lncRNA from 1 species
AAAAUAACAUUGUCAAAAAGUUACAAGGUAAUAUUUCCAUUACUUGAAUGUUACUACAGGUACAUGCAAACAAAUGAUCAAAAUAGCUGUAUUUGUUAGAGAAUUGGGAGUUCCUAUCAUAAUGCAUGACUACUUAACAUGAUGAUUCACUGCAGAUACUAGCUUGGCUCAUUAUUGCCAAGAUAAUGGACUACUUAUUCACAUUCAUCGUGCAAUGCAUGCAGUUAUUUAUAAAUAGAAGAAUCAUGGUAUAUACUUCCGUGUACUAGCUAAAGCAUUACGUAUAUCCGUGAAGAUUAUAUUCACUCUGGUAUCAUAAUAGAUAAACUUGAAGGGGAAAUAGACAUCACUUUGGGCUUUGUUGAUUCACUGCAUGAGUCAUCAACUUUCGAGAAAGGGUAGAAGAAUGUGGCCUAUUAUGGGACAUACACUACAUCACAGAUGUAUGAUCAUUAUCAAAGUGGGUGUGCGCCACAGCUCAAGCCACCAAAUUUUCCUCAGAU